AGAGUUUGAUCCUGGCUCAGGACGAACGCUGGCGGCGUGCUUAACACAUGCAAGUCGCACGGGCCCGCAAGGGUCAGUGGCGGACGGGUGCGUAACACGUGAGGAACCUGCCCAUCGGUGGGGGAUAGCCGGCCCAACGGCCGGGUAAUACCGCGUACGAUCUUCGGGGGGCAUCCCCUGGAGAGGAAAGCAGCAAUGCGCCGAUGGAGGGCCUCGCGGCCUAUCAGCUAGUUGGUGAGGUAACGGCUCACCAAGGCUACGACGGGUAGCUGGUCUGAGAGGAUGAUCAGCCACAUUGGGACUGAGACACGGCCCAGACUCCUACGGGAGGCAGCAGUGGGGAAUAUUGCGCAAUGGGCGAAAGCCUGACGCAGCGACGCCGCGUGCGGGAUGAAGGCCUUCGGGUUGUAAACCGCUGUCGGGAGGGACGAAGCUCUGACGGUACCUCCAAAGAGA
rnacentral:rRNA from 1 species